GGCCGCCUGGCGAAAUGGCAUCGCGUCUGACUACGAUCAGGCCUCCCAGGGCUUGUGGAGAUCAGGAGAUUGCAGGUUCGACCCCUGCGGUGGUCA